AGAACAAGCCUAUGAAGAGAAUGCUUAGGCCCUGACGGUAACAGAGGAGGAAGCCCCGGCUAACUACGUGCCAGCAGCCGCGGUAAUACGUAGGGGGCAAGCGUUGUCCGGAAUCACUGGGCGUAAAGCGCGCGCAGGCGGCUGUCUACGUCCGGGGUGAAAGCCCAGAGCUCAACUCUGGGAUUGCCUUGGAUACGGGAUGGCUUGAGGAUCGGAGAGGCAAGGGGAAUUCCACGUGUAGCGGUGAAAUGCGUAGAGAUGUGGAGGAACACCUGUGGCGAAGGCGCCUUGCUGGCCGAUUUCUGACGCUGAGGCGCGAAAGCGUGGGGAGCAAACAGGAUUAGAUACCCUGGUAGUCCACGCCGUAAACGAUGAGUGCUAGGUGUUGGGGGGUACCACCCUCAGUGCCGAAGCUAACGCAUGAAGCACUCCGCCUGGGGAGUACGGUCGCAAGACUGAAACUCAAAGGAAUUGACGGGGGCCCGCACAAGCAGUGGAGCAUGUGGUUUAAUUCGAAGCAACGCGAAGAACCUUACCAGGACUUGACAUCCCGCUGACCGGUUCAGAGAUGAGCCUUCCCUUCGGGGCAGCGGUGACAGGUGGUGCAUGGUUGUCGUCAG
rnacentral:rRNA from 1 species